UCAUUCACGCGCGUACCUGGAUGGAAAUUUCCCAGCAAUGUCGGCCAUGACUUGAAUUGCACGGUUAUUUAUAAUUGUGUAUCCACCAAAGUAGAGGUGCGGAUCUGGAGAGUUUUUAGUAUGAAGUGCUUCCAAAGCAGAGACUCAUGCUGGUGUUACUCACGCCCCGAGUGUGUGAAAUAGCCUGGCAACUCCCCUUCUACAUCCACACCUGCUUCGCUAACGUUCUCGAUCAUGGCAGCCGAUUUACUGUCAAGGAAGCCCGUCUGUGCAUACCGGUCCGGAAGAUCUACAUCGCGGUAUCCAGUGGCAAGGACAACACCGUCGGCUUUUAAAACAACUUCUUUCCCUUGAUCCUUGUCGAAUGCGACGAUGCCGUCUGGAACGAAUUUGCGAGCAUCACCCCGCGCUAUCUUGAUCUUGUCCUCAAACACAAGAUCAAACGUCCUCAGCUGAUCCAUGUAAGCUGCGUGGCCGCGAUCCUCGUAUACAAGGGUGACCAUGCAAGCGUCCUUUUUGGGCAUGUAUCCCUUGCUUUCAAGACGAGCCAGA
rnacentral:sRNA from 1 species